rnacentral:tRNA from 1 species
GUUAGGGUGGCAGAGCCCGGUAAAUGCAUAAAACUUAAACCUUUACUACCAGAGGUUCAAUUCCUCUCCCUAACA